GCGGACGUAGCUCAGUUGGUUAGAGCGCCGGUUUGUGGUACCGGAGGUCGCGGGUUCGAGCCCCGUCUUCCGCC
rnacentral:tRNA from 1 species